UCCAGACUCCUACGGGAGGCAGCAGUGAGGAAUAUUGGUCAAUGGGCGGAAGCCUGAACCAGCCAAGUCGCGUGAGGGACUAAGGCCCUACGGGUCGUAAACCUCUUUUGCCGGGGAUCAGUGCCCAGCUCGCGAGCUGGGAGGGAGCGUACCCGGAGAAAAAGCAUCGGCUAACUCCGUGCCAGCAGCCGCGGUAAUACGGAGGAUGCGAGCGUUAUCCGGAUUUAUUGGGUUUAAAGGGUGCGCAGGCGGCACGGCAAGCCGGGGGUCAAAUCGCGGGGCUCAACCCCGCCCAGCCGUCGGAACUGCCGGGCUAGAGUGGGCGAGAAGUGCGCGGAAUGCGUGGUGUAGCGGUGAAAUGCAUAGAUAUCACGCAGAACUCCGAUUGCGAAGGCAGCGCACCGGCGCCCUACUGACGCUCAGGCACGAAAGCGUGGGUAUCGAACAGGAUUAGAUACCCUUGUA
rnacentral:rRNA from 1 species